rnacentral:misc_RNA from 1 species
GUGUAUGUUUUUUAUUAACAGGUGGUAUUUCAGACUGUAAAAAGUAUUAGAAAAAGUUGGAUUGGACUUUAACCUCUGGCAGGUGUAUGGGUGUCCCUGCCAAAGGUGGUUUUUUAGGUUUCCCUACAGUGCACAAAUCUUCUCCCCCCCUAAACACGUUGGUUUGGGGGGGAGAGAUUAUUAAAAAAAAACCCCCAAAACAACAAAUGUGUGUGUUGUUGUUGUUGUUGGGCUUGGGUGGCGGGCGGGGUAGUGGGUUUACUCAGUAAUGAUCCUUCCGCAGGUUCACCUACGGAAA